rnacentral:sRNA from 1 species
CUCCCUUGAUCGCCCCUGACUCAAAAUCUCUCAAAAUCUCCCCCCUCAAAUCCCCAAUCUCCUAUCCAGAUGGCCCUCCUGUCUCACGCGAACAACUUCAAGCCGUGGGCGCCGCGGCGUCCGCGGCACACCAAGCCAUUCUCACACUCUAGAGACCAGAAGCCCCCCUCCCCCAGCCUCACAUUGUGACGCCUCUGCCAAUGCUCUGCUACCCUGCAAGCAUGGCCUUCCUCUCAAGCCGCCGGCCGAAGUCUGCGUGCCCAUCAGCAGCAAUGUUCACCAUUGAACUCCCCCUCUCAAUCAAGAAAGAUAUCUAUAUCAUCACCGAGUUCAAAGAACCCUCAGCAUGAUGUAUCAUCUCUCCAUGAACCUGCAA